rnacentral:snRNA from 1 species
CGAACAGUCAGCUCAGAA